rnacentral:rRNA from 1 species
AUUGAACGCUGGCGGCGUGCCUAACACAUGCAAGUCGAGCGGUAACAGGUGUAGCAAUACAUGCUGACGAGCGGCGGACGGGUGAGUAACGCUUGGGAAUCUGCCUAUUAGUGGGGGACAACCCGGGGAAACUCGGGCUAAUACCGCAUACGCUCUACGGAGGAAAGCCGGGGACCGCAAGGCCUGGCGUUAAUAGAUGAGCCCAAGUCGGAUUAGCUAGUUGGUAGGGUAAUGGCCACCAAGGCGACGAUCCGUAACUGGUCUGAGAGGACGACCAGUCACACCGGAACUGAGACACGGUCCGGACUCCUACGGGAGGCAGCAGUGGGGAAUAUUGGACAAUGGGCGAAAGCCUGAUCCAGCGACGCCGCGUGGGUGAAGAAGGCCUGCGGG